rnacentral:rRNA from 1 species
UACAGAGGGUGCGAGCGUUAAUCGGAAUUACUGGGCGUAAAGCGUGCGCAGGCGGUGAUGUAAGACAGAUGUGAAAUCCCCGGGCUCAACCUGGGAACUGCAUUUGUGACUGCAUGGCUAGAGUGUGUCAGAGGGGGUAGAAUUCCACGUGUAGCAGUGAAAUGCGUAGAUAUGUGGAGGAAUACCGAUGGCGAAGGCAGCCCCCUGGGAUAACACUGACGCUCAUGCACGAAAGCGUGGGAGCAAACAGG